rnacentral:rRNA from 1 species
CCUACGGGUGGCAGCAGUGAGGAAUAUUGGUCAAUGGACGAGAGUCUGAACCAGCCAAGUAGCGUGAAGGAUGACUGCCCUAUGGGUUGUAAACUUCUUUUAUAUGGGAAUAAAAUGUUCCACGUGUGGGAUUUUGUAUGUACCAUAUGAAUAAGGAUCGGCUAACUCCGUUCCAGCAGCCGCGGUAAUACGGAGGAUCCGAGCGUUAUCCGGAUUUAUUGGGUUUAAAGGGAGCGUAGGUGGAUUGUUAAGUCAGUUGUGAAAGUUUGCGGCUCAACCGGAAAAUUGCAGUUGAAACUGGCAGUCUUGAGUACAGUAGAGGUGGGCGGAAUGCGUGGUGUAGCGGUGAAAUGCUGAGAUAUCACGAAGAACUCCGAUUGAGAAGGCAGUUCACUGGACUGCAACUGACACUGAGGCUCGAAAGUGUGGGUAUCAAACAGGAUUAGAUACCCCUGUAGUC